rnacentral:rRNA from 1 species
AGUGAACGCUGGCGGUAGGCCUAACACAUGCAAGUCGAACGGCAGCACAGUAAGAGCUUGCUCUUACGGGUGGCGAGUGGCGGACGGGUGAGGAAUACAUCGGAAUCUACUUUUUCGUGGGGGAUAACGUAGGGAAACUUACGCUAAUACCGCAUACGACCUACGGGUGAAAGCAGGGGAUCUUCGGACCUUGCGCGAUUGAAUGAGCCGAUGUCGGAUUAGCUAGUUGGCGGGGUAAAGGCCCACCAAGGCGACGAUCCGUAGCUGGUCUGAGAGGAUGAUCAGCCACACUGGAACUGAAACACGGUCCAGACUCCUACGGGAGGCAGCAGUGGGGAAUAUUGGACAAUGGGCGCAAGCCUGAUCCAGCCAUACCGCGUGGGUGAAGAAGGCCUUCGGGUUGUAAAGCCCUUUUGUUGGGAAAGAAAAGCAGCAGGUUAAUACCCCGCUGUUCUGACGGUACCUAAAGAAUAAGCACCGGCUAACUUCGUG